ACGAACGCUGGCCGCGUGCUUAACACCUGCAAGUCGAACGAUGACGACCGAGCUUGCUCGGUCUGAUUAGUGGCGAACGGGUGAGUAACACGUGAGCAACCUGCCCUUCACUCUGGGAUCACCCCGGGAAAUCGGGGCUUAUACCGGAUAUGAGCUCCUGUCGCAUGGCGGGUGUUGGAAAGUUUUUCGGUGAAGGAUGGGCUCGCGGCCUACCAGUUUGUUGGUGAGGUAGUGGCUCACCAAGGCGAUGACGGGUAGCCGGCCUGAGAGGGCGACCGGCCACACUGGGACUGAGACACGGCCCAGACUCCUACGGGAGGCAGCAGUGGGGAAUAUUGCACAAUGGGCGAAAGCCUGAUGCAGCGACGCCGCGUGAGGGAUGACGGCCUUCGGGUUGUAAACCUCUUUCAGCAGGGAAGAAGCGAAAGUGACGGUACCUGCAGAAGAAGCGCCGGCUAACUACGUGC
rnacentral:rRNA from 1 species